CAGCCGCCGCGGGAAUAAAGAGGAUGCAAGCGUUAUCCGGAAUGAUUGGGAAUAAAGUGUCUGUAGGUGGCUUUUCAAGUCCGCCGUCAAAUCCCCGAGCUCAACCCUGGACAAGCAGUGGAAACUACCAAGCUGGAGUACGGUAGGGGUAGAGGGAAUUUCUGGUGGAGCGGUGAAAUGCGUUGAGAUCGGAAAGAACACCAACGACGAAAGCACUUUGCUGGGCCGACACUGACACUGAGAGGCGAAAGCUAGGGGAGCAAAUGGGAUUAGAUACCCCUGUAGUCCCUGUCUCUUAUAC
rnacentral:rRNA from 1 species